AGGUGAUGAGGAGCACCAAGACAUUGCUACAGUUCCCAGGCUGGCAUCUCAUGGACCAGAAAUGAGGAACUUUGAAGACUUAAGAAAUGCUAAAUGAACAAUCAAAAAUGAAAUCCUGCCAAAGAAGACAGACUGAAAUACUUAUUUUUUAUGCAGUUAAAACCUGAAGAAUAUCCUUUCUAAAACCCCAUGUCUGGAAUUAAUAUGACAAGCCUAUAAUUCAGAACAAUUUAUAAAAAAGUUUUAAAGGAAUUUUAAAAUGUCUUCCUGUAAUUAAACCAACAUUCUGCUAAGUUGGCAACAGAAA